rnacentral:rRNA from 1 species
AUGGCAAGAAGAAAAUGCAUUGGCGCUCAUGGGAGUGGCUCUCUACGCCGAAAUCCCUCGGGGGCAUGGGCUUCAGGGAUAUGGCGCUCUUCAACCAAGUGCGCACAGGUUUUAAAGGGAAGGUAUUUUCCUUUUGGUGACUUCUGGAAUGCUACUGCUCCUUGUUCUUCCUCGGCCACUUGGCGUGCUAUUCUGCAUGGUCGGGACCUACUCAAGAAAGGUGUGCAAUGGGGGAUAGGGGAUGGCAGAAGUACCCACAUUGUCAAAGAUCACUGGAUCCCUCUACUCCUCCUGCUAUGCUUCGACCUCUCUCCCCCAUUCCAAGUUCAGCUACGGUCCACUGUUUGCUUGAUGAGGACAACGAGGGCUGGAAUGAGAAAUCAGUGA